rnacentral:rRNA from 1 species
UACAGAGGGUGCGAGCGUUAAUCGGAAUUACUGGGCGUAAAGCGCACGUAGGUGGCUUUGUAAGUCGGAUGUGAAAUCCCUGGGCUCAACCUGGGAACUGCACUCGAGACUGCAUCGCUGGAGUACGGAAGAGGAAGGCGGAAUUCCCGGUGUAGCGGUGAAAUGCGUAGAUAUCGGGAGGAACAUCAGUGGCGAAGGCGGCCUUCUGGUCCAGUACUGACACUCAAGUGCGAAAGCGUGGGGAGCAAAC